UUUUUUGCUGUUUCCAUGGUAACGGCGGCCAUUUUGAAAAUUCCUAAAUUAUAUUUCAACUCUGCACAUGCCAGUGAACAUUUCUGUAAAGUUUCAUAAAGUUUGGUGCAUUUUCAUUUUUUUGUAGUUUCCAUGGUAACGGUAGCCAUUUUGAAAAUUCCAAAGACAGAUUCCACUUUGACUCAUUACAUGUUACCUCCCCAUAAAGUUUCGAUAGGUUUAAUAUCAUAUUCUUUAAGAAAAAGCAGGUUUAAUGUUUUUCCCAUAGGGCCAAUGUUAAACUUUCGCCCUGUUUCCAUGACAAUGAUGGCCAUUUUGGAAUUUCCAAAUAUAGUCGGUAUAUCAGGGCAUACCAUGGAACAUUUCCAUAAAGUUUCAUCCAGUUGGGUCUUACAAUGAAAGAUUUGGAAUUUUGAUUUUUUUUUACAUUUUUUUAGUUUCCAUGGUAACGGUAGCCAUCAUGCACAUGCCAAUGUCCACUGCACAACUUAUCAUGGUGGUCCUUAUUAUAGUAGAGUUUAACCAACAUUGGUCCAUUGGAUUCCGAGAAAUAAGCUGGACAAAAUCGGUGGAAGAAAAAUAAUAAGAAAAAAAAGAAACGUAGAAUAACAAUACGUCACCCCAACUUCGUUGAGGGUGCCAUAAAAAGAAACGUAGAAUAACAAUACGUCACCCCAACUCCGUUGAGGGUGCCAUAAUAAUAAAAAUAAUAAGAACUGAGCAAAAACAAUAAGUC
rnacentral:lncRNA from 1 species